rnacentral:rRNA from 1 species
GCACAAGCGGUGGAGCAUGUGGUUUAAUUCGAAGCAACGCGAAGAACCUUACCAAAUCUUGACAUCCUCUGAUCCCUCUAGAGAUAGAGUUUUCCCCUUCGGGGGACAGAGUGACAGGUGGUGCAUGGUUGUCGUCAGCUCGUGUCGUGAGAUGUUGGGUUAAGUCCCGCAACGAGCGCAACCCUUAAGCUUAGUUGCCAUCAUUAAGUUGGGCACUCUAAGUUGACUGCCGGUGACAAACCGGAGGAAGGCGGGGAUGACGUCAAAUCAUCAUGCCCCUUAUGAUUUGGGCUACACACGUGCUACAAUGGACAAUACAAAGGGUAGCGAAACCGCGAGGUCAAGCAAAUCCCAUAAAGUUGUUCUCAGUUCGGAUUGUAGUCUGCAACUCGACUACAUGAAGCUGGAAUCGCUAGUAAUCGUAGAUCAGCAUGCUACGGUGAAUACGUUCCCGGGC